AUUCCUAUGACACAGUGAGUCAGUACAUCUGGCUGCUAACCAGAAGGUUGGUGGUUCGAGCCCACCUAGGGAUG